rnacentral:misc_RNA from 1 species
AAGUCGUAACAAGGUUUCCGUAGGUGAACCUGCGGAAGGAUCAUUACCAGAUGAUCGGGGCUUCGGUCCCGACCCAUCCACCCUUUGUACUAUGUUACCUGUUGCUCGAGCCGUGGCCGCAAGGCCUGGCGCGGGAAUACCUAAACCUUUUGUUCUUGAGUGUCUGAGAAGGUAGCAAACUGAAUAAAACUUUCAACAACGGAUCUCUUGGUUCCA